AUGAGGUCCCCCAUUCAGUUAUUGGGGCUGCUGAUGCUCUGCAUUCCUGGUUCCAGUGAUGAUGCCAUGCUGACCCAGACUCCAUUCUCCCUGCUGGUCCUCCUUGGAGAUGACUCCUCUACCUCUUGUAGUUCUAGUGAGAGUCUCCUAGAUAGUGAAGGGGCUACCUGUUUGAACUGGUACCUGCAGAGACCUGGCCAGUCUCCCCAGCUCCUUAUCUAUGGGGUCUAUAUCCAGGAAUAUGGGAUCUCAGACAGGUUCAUUGGCAGUGGAUCUGGGACAGAUGUCACACUGAAAAUCAGCAGUGUGGAGGCUGAGGAUGUUGGAAAGUAUUACUGUUCCCAAACUACACAUGUUCCUCCCACAGUAACACAUACUCUAACAAAAACCUCUUUGCUUGGCAUGGCCUAG